UUUUUCCAUAGUCAGUGCUUGUCUCAAAGAAUAGGCCAUGCCAUGUCUAAGUACAUACUUUUGCACGGUGAAACCGCGAAUGGCUCAUUAAAUCAAACAUGGUUCCUUAGAUCGUUCAUAUUACAUGGAUAACUGUGGUAAUUCUAGAGUUAAUACAUGCAAAAAGCUCCGACCGUAUGGGAAGAGCGCUUUUAUUAGACCAAAACCAAUGGGAUCGCAAGAUUCCUUUGUAUGGUGAGUUGGGAUAUAAUUGUGGAGAUAGCAUGGCGUCGAGCCGGGGAGGUAUCUCUCAAAAGUUUGCCCUAUCAACGUUUGAGGGUAAGGGAUUUGCCUACCAUGGUUGUAACGGGUAAAGGGGAAUCAGGGUUUGAUUCUGGAGAGGGAGCAUGAGAAAAGGCUACCACACAUACGGAAGGCAGCAGGCGCGCAAAUUACCCACAAUUAGAUCGGGGAGGUAGUGACGACAAGUAACACACCGGAGUGAAUGAGGGUCGGUAAUGAAAUGAGACAAUA
rnacentral:rRNA from 1 species